rnacentral:rRNA from 1 species
AAACUUUCAACAAUGGAUCUCUUGGUUCCGGCAUCGAUGAAGAACGCAGCGAAAUGCGAUAAUUAAUGUGAAUUGCAGAAUUCAGUGAAUCAUCGAGUCUUUGAACGCACAUUGCGCCCCCUGGUAUUCCGGGGGGCAUGCCUGUCCGAGAGUC